AUUGAACGCUGGCGGCAUGCCUUACACAUGCAAGUCGAACGGUAACAGGUCUUCGGAUGCUGACGAGUGGCGAACGGGUGAGUAAUACAUCGGAACGUGCCCGAUCGUGGGGGAUAACGAAGCGAAAGCUUUGCUAAUACCGCAUACGAUCUACGGACGAAAGCAGGGGACCGCAAGGCCUUGCGCGAACGGAGCGGCCGAUGGCAGAUUAGGUAGUUGGGGGGAUAAAAGCUUACCAAGCCGACGAUCUGUAGCUAGUCUGAGAGGACGACCAGCCACACUGGGACUGAGACACGGCCCAGACUCCUACGGGAGGCAGCAGUGGGGAAUUUUGGACAAUGGGCGAAAGCCUGAUCCAGCCAUGCCGCGUGCAGGAUGAAGGCCUUCGGGUUGUAAAGCACUUUUGUCCGGAAAGAAAUGGCUCUGGUUAAUACCUGGGGUCGAUGACGGUACCGGAAGAAUAAGGACCGGCUAACUACGUGCCAGCAGCCGCCGUAACAC
rnacentral:rRNA from 1 species